GUGCUCCCUUCAGCAGCACAUAUACUAAAAAUUGGAAUGAUACAAAGAAGAUUGGCAUGGCCCCUGCACAAAAUAGCUAGGAUAUAAUUAUUCUA
rnacentral:snRNA from 1 species